GAUGAACGCUGGCGGCGUGCCUAAUACAUGCAAGUCGAGCGAACGGACGAGAAGCUUGCUUCUCUGAUGUUAGCGGCGGACGGGUGAGUAACACGUGGAUAACCUACCUAUAAGACUGGGAUAACUUCGGGAAACCGGAGCUAAUACCGGAUAAUAUUUUGAACCGCAUGGUUCAAAAGUGAAAGACGGUCUUGCUGUCACUUAUAGAUGGAUCCGCGCUGCAUUAGCUAGUUGGUAAGGUAACGGCUUACCAAGGCAACGAUGCAUAGCCGACCUGAGAGGGUGAUCGGCCACACUGGAACUGAGACACGGUCCAGACUCCUACGGGAGGCAGCAGUAGGGAAUCUUCCGCAAUGGGCGAAAGCCUGACGGAGCAACGCCGCGUGAGUGAUGAAGGUCUUCGGAUCGUAAAACUCUGUUAUUAGGGAAGAACAUAUGUGUAAGUAACUGUGCACAUCUUGACGGUACCUAAUCAGAAAGCCACGGCUAACUACGUGCCAGCAGCCGCGGUAAUACGUAGGUGGCAAGCGUUAUCCGGAAUUAUUGGGCGUAAAGCGCGCGUAGGCGGUUUUUUAAGUCUGAUGUGAAAGCCCACGGCUCAACCGUGGAGGGUCAUUGGAAACUGGAAAACUUGAGUGCAGAAGAGGAAAGUGGAAUUCCAUGUGUAGCGGUGAAAUGCGCAGAGAUAUGGAGGAACACCAGUGGCGAAGGCGACUUUCUGGUCUGUAACUGACGCUGAUGUGCGAAAGCGUGGGGAUCAAACAGGAUUAGAUACCCGGGUAGUCCACGCCGUAAACGAUGAGUGCUAAGUGUUAGGGGGUUUCCGCCCCUUAGUGCUGCAGCUAACGCAUUAAGCACUCCGCCUGGGGAGUACGACCGCAAGGUUGAAACUCAAAGGAAUUGACGGGGACCCGCACAAGCGGUGGAGCAUGUGGUUUAAUUCGAAGCAACGCGAAGAACCUUACCAAAUCUUGACAUCCUUUGACAACUCUAGAGAUAGAGCUUUCCCCUUCGGGGGACAAAGUGACAGGUGGUGCAUGGUUGUCGUCAGCUCGUGUCGUGAGAUGUUGGGUUAAGUCCCGCAACGAGCGCAACCCUUAAGCUUAGUUGCCAUCAUUAAGUUGGGCACUCUAAGUUGACUGCCGGUGACAAACCGGAGGAAGGUGGGGAUGACGUCAAAUCAUCAUGCCCCUUAUGAUUUGGGCUACACACGUGCUACAAUGGACAAUACAAAGGGCAGCGAAACCGCGAGGUCAAGCAAAUCCCAUAAAGUUGUUCUCAGUUCGGAUUGUAGUCUGCAACUCGACUACAUGAAGCUGGAAUCGCUAGUAAUCGUAGAUCAGCAUGCUACGGUGAAUACGUUCCCGGGUCU
rnacentral:rRNA from 1 species